rnacentral:rRNA from 1 species
AUUGAACGCUGGCGGAAUGCUUUACACAUGCAAGUCGAGCGGCAGCGCGGCCUUCGGGCUGGCGGCGAGCGGCGAACGGGUGAGUAAUGCAUCGGAACAUGCCCAGUCGUGGGGGAUAACACUUCGAAAGAAGUGCUAAUACCGCAUACGUCCUGAGGGGGAAAGCGGGGGAUCGCAAGACCUCGCGCGAUUGGAGUGGCCGAUGUCAGAUUAGCUAGUUGGUGGGGUAAAGGCCUACCAAGGCGACGAUCUGUAGCUGGUCUGAGAGGAUGAUCAGCCACACUGGGACUGGGACACGGCCCAGACUCCUACGGGAGGCAGCAGUGGGGAAUUUUGGACAAAGGGGGCAACCCUGAUCCAGCCAUUCCGCGUGAGUGAAGAAGGCCUUCGGGUUGUAAAGCUCUUUCGGCAGGAACGAAACGGUGGGCUCUAACAUAGUCCGCUAAUGACGGUACCUGAAGAAGAAGCACCGGCUAACUACGUG